rnacentral:tRNA from 1 species
GUGGCGGUAGCUCAGUGGUAGAGCUCCCCUUUCGUAGGCGGGAAGAUCUGGGUUCGAUUCCCUACUGCUUUC